CACCUGCAGCCCGGUUGGGGGAUCCACUAGGUGAAGCCAGCUGGGCUCCUGAGUCUAGUGGGGAUUUGGAGAACCUUUGUGUCUAGCUAAGGGACUGUAAAUACACCAAUCAGCACUCUGUGUCUGGCUCAAGGUUUGUAAAGGCACCAAUCAGUGCUCUGUGUCUAGCUAAUCUAGUGGGGACUUGGAGAACUUUUGUGUCUAGCUCAGGGAUUGUAAACGCACCAAUCAGCACCCUGCAAAACGGACCAAUCAGCUCUCUGUAAAACAGACCAAUCAGCUCUCUGCAAAAUGGACCAAUCAGCAAGAUGUGGGUGGGGCCAGAUAAGGGAAUAAAAGCAGGCUGCUGGAGCCAGUAAUGUUGACACCCUCGGGUUGUCUUCUGUGGUGUGGAGGCUUUGUUCUUUUGUUCUUUGUGAUAGAUCUAAUUGCUGCUCACUCUUUGGGUCUGUACUGCGUUUAUGAGCUGUGACACUCGCCGUGAAGGUCUGCAGCUUCACUCCUGAACCAGCGAGAGGAGGAACCCACCAGAAGGAGGAAAACGCGGAACACAUCUGAAUAUCAGAAGGAACAAACUCCAGACACGCCGCCUUUAAGAACUGUAACAGUCACCGCGAGGGUCCGUGGUUUCAUUCUUGAAGUAAGUGAGACCAAGAACCUGCCAAUUUCAGACACAAUGGAGAGCGCCAGUCCUGCUGCGGGGCCAUACAUCUAUUUAAUUUCCUCUCAUCUUCCCCCCGGUUCCGAGAGGAAGGUGCUUUCACCUGCACUGUUCCCAUGAGGAAACGAGGCUUCAGGAAUCUGAUAAAGCUUCCAAACUCCCGUGGCUGGCAGGAACCAAGGUUUCGAUGGCCGGACUUCUCAGCCCCCCAGGUGGAAAAGCAGGAGGCAUGACAGAUGAGGGUGAGAGUGCAUGCCAGGUCAGGCUGAGAAGGCGACAAUGCCAUAUGGUUUUUUCCACUUAGCUUAGCUCCAGGAUGACUUUGAACAGUGUUACAGCCCCAUGGGCAGAAAAUUGCACUUGCCUCAAGCUUCAUUAAAGCAAAUCGAGUCAGAAGGGAUUGAAACACCUGGAAGAAAUGCAAUGGAUUCAAACAGGGAAAAGGUGUGGGUCCGUCCCUUUUCCUGGUAAAUCCAGCAGCCUAGGAGAUGUCAGAAAAACAUUCCAAGGUUCCUGGACUUUUAAAGAGGCUAAGGAUGGGGCCUGCCAGGUACAGGAUGGCCCAUGCAGGUGGAGAUGCAGCCACAGGAUACCUGGGAUUCAUUGCAGCCUCGUCACUUACCAGUGUUGGCACUGUAUCGGUUAUCCCGAAUUUAACAGCCUAAAGCCACAUUCGUCAUCUUAUACUCUGUGGGGGUAGGGAAUCCAGGAGUGGAUUCACCAGGAGGUUCUGGCUGGGUGUCUCCCCGGAGCCGCAGGCGAGUGUGGGCCGUGGCAGCCAUCCCUGUUUCCAAGUGCACCAUGUGGCAGUUGGCUUGAGGCUCCAGGUCCUUGAGGUGCAGGCUUCCCCACGGGGCUGCUCGCGGCAUGGCUUCCUCACCCAGAGUGAUGGAUCCGAGAGAGAGCAGCCAAACUGAAAGCCACAGCCUUUUGUAAGCAAACCUCAGAAGUGACAUCUCGUCACAUCUGCCAUAUUCUACUGGUCGCACAGACCUAUCCUGCUACAUGGAAGGAGCAGCAGGAAGGUGGUGGGGAUUGCUGGGACCAUCUUGGAGGCUGCCACAGACAUCCAAGCCCCUCCAGGCAGGACAAACCAGGAUGAGAGGACAGUGUCGGGUGUAGCUGCCACCACCCAGUGUCGUCCAAGGAAAAUGGAGCAACCACAUCCUGCAUGGCAACACCAGGUGGCCAAGCCAGAUCGUGUGACCACUCGACGCUUCCCACCCACAGCAAAGAGGAGUGCAGGCUCUGCUGAUUCUCACGCACGUACAAGAAAGACUUCUUUUCGGUAAAGAAAGGAAGGAAAGCG
rnacentral:lncRNA from 1 species